AAAUUGAAGAGUUUGAUCAUGGCUCAGGUUGAACGCUGGCGGCAGGCCUAACACAUGCAAGUCGAACGGUAACAGGAAGCAGCUUGCUGCUUCGCUGACGAGUGGCGGACGGGUGAGUAAUGUCUGGGAAACUGCCUGAUGGAGGGGGAUAACUACUGGAAACGGUAGCUAAUACCGCAUAACGUCGCAAGACCAAAGGGGGGGACCUUCGGGCCUCUUGCCAUCGGAUGUGCCCAGAUGGGAUUAGCUUGUUGGUGGGGUAACGGCUCACCAAGGCGACGAUCCCUAGCUGGUCUGAGAGGAUGACCAGCCACACUGGAACUGAG
rnacentral:rRNA from 1 species